rnacentral:lncRNA from 10 species
CCCACCCUCAUCCCGGCACGUGAUGACGUAGGACGUAAGGACGCCCCCCCCCGCCGGUAGCCAUCUUCGUGCAUAGCUUGCAACACCAUGAAAAAAUUACUGAGACACUAGGAAUGCUGUGAACUGAGAAAGUUUGGGACCUUUGGCAUAACUAAAUCCUUCAUUUAACAGUGUUGUGAACCACUUGUCAUGGGAUAACCAAAAUUAAACCUGGAAUCGCAGAAGAAACAAAUUUUUUGAAGAAAUUGGAUGUACUUUUUUAAAAUUUUUCAUUCAACUAAAACUUUGUUAACUGUUUCUUGGUUGUGGUCUUCUCUAAAUUGUAAUCUUUGGCAUUCACUUCCAAAGUAUCCACCACUAAACUUCAUAACAUUUAUUGUGUCUCUUCAUCAUUAAACUUUGAUGAAUUUACAGAGUGUCUUUUGAAAUUAUGUUCUUGAGAAAGCCAGGGGAUUGGACGGUGUCAUGGAAAUGUCAAAGAAAAAGUGACACCUGAGAGAAAAUUUGAAAGAUGAAAGGUGCACAUCAUGGAGACAAUCUGACUGGUACAGAGAAAUGAAGAGACAACAUUUUCUUUCCAAAUCUGAGUGGAGAUGAUAGAAGAGGCCCUGGUUAGCAGCUUCAGAUGAUGGAUACAUAAAAAUGGGAGAGAGAAAACAUAUAAGAGUGACUAAUUGUUGAGUUUCCAGGGCUCAAACCAAUCUUGAAUUGGAAUUUCAAGACAUAAAAACCACUGCAGGAACCUGCUGGAGAAACGGCCUCUGGUAUCUCUAUCUGAAAUAUGAUUAUCUUAAGUUCGCAAAGCAUUGUGUCUGCAGUGUGAGUUUGAAAACAACAAUGUUAAGGCAACUUCGCAGCUUCUUAAUCAAGCCCUUCUCCAUCUCUCCGUGUGGUUUUUGGGGUGGUGGAGGUGGAGCCAAAAAAGAGAGGGCAGUUUCCCAGGGCUGAAGAUGCUACCAUGACUCAUAGGAUCUAUGCAAACCCUGUGAGUGAAUUCUGAGGAAGAAGAAUGAGUAAUAUUUUGAUUUUAUUACUGAUGGUAAUAAGAUAGUAUCAUCAGUGUGGUAUAUUCUGAUUACUGAAUUCUAUUCCCUAUUUUCUUCCUGUGGCCAAAUAAAAUUUGUGUGUGUAAGCUAUGAUAUUUAGUGUUGUUAUCUGAUGAGACAGGUUUAGUGGAAAAGUUCAUUUUAAAUAAACAUUAAAAUUGUUUCAGCCUCAGAUUUUUAAUCCAAAUCAUUCCUUUGACACCAGAAGAAUUUUCCUCAGAGUCAACUCCAAAGAUAAAGCUGCCUGUUUUCCUAUUUGCCCAGAAGUAAAGAGGUUGCAAAA